rnacentral:rRNA from 1 species
GGGAAUACCAAUUUAACUCCUACCCGUUCUGUGACCCUACCUAUCGUUGCUUCGGCGGACUCGCCCCAGCCCGGACGCGGACUGGACCAGCGGCCCGCCGGGGACCUCAAACUCUUGUAUUCCAGCAUCUUCUGAAUACGCCGCAAGGCAAAACAAAUGAAUCAAAACUUUCAACAACGGAUCUCUUGGCUCUGGCAUCGAUGAAGAACGCAGCGAAACGCGAUAAGUAAUGUGAAUUGCAGAAUCCAGUGAAUCAUCGAAUCUUUGAACGCACAUUGCGCCCGCCAGCAUUCUGGCGGGCAUGCCUGUUCGAGCGUCAUUUCAACCCUCGACCUCCCCUUGGGGGGGUCGGCGUUGGGGACCGGCAGCACACCGCCGGCCCUGAAAUGGAGUGGCGGCCCGUCCGCGGCGACCUCUGCGCAGUAAUACAGCUCGCACCGGAACCCCGACGCGGCCACGCCGUAAAACACCCAACUUCUGAACGUUGACCUCGAAUCAGGUAGGACUACCCGCUGAACUUAAGCAUAUCAAUAAGCGGAGGA